rnacentral:tRNA from 1 species
GCGUGUAUAGCUCAGUCGGUAGAGCCUCAGACUUUUAAUCUGAGGGUCCAGGGGUCAAGUCCCUAUUCAGGCU